GGCCUAACACAUGCAAGUCGAACGAAGUCUUCGGACUUAGUGGCGGACGGGUGAGUAACACGUGGGAACGUGCCUUUAGGUUCGGAAUAACUCAGGGAAACUUGUGCUAAUACCGAAUGUGCCCUUCGGGGGAAAGAUUUAUCGCCUUUAGAGCGGCCCGCGUCUGAUUAGCUAGUUGGUGAGGUAAAGGCUCACCAAGGCGACGAUCAGUAGCUGGUCUGAGAGGAUGAUCAGCCACAUUGGGACUGAGACACGGCCCAAACUCCUACGGGAGGCAGCAGUGGGGAAUCUUGCGCAAUGGGCGAAAGCCUGACGCAGCCAUGCCGCGUGAAUGAUGAAGGUCUUAGGAUUGUAAAAUUC
rnacentral:rRNA from 1 species